UUGAAUUCAACAUACCAACAUGUUGCAACCAUUUUAGAUUAAUUAGUUAACACCUUUAUUCUGCCAUUCUAUACACUCAGAAUUUUACAAAAGGACAAUUACGUAAUUUGAAAUUAAAAGGCAAGCAGUGUAAUGCUUAAUCGACAAGUUCAGAAUCUUGCUUUAUUUGACUGUGAUAUUAUUGUUUGUGAAUGAAUGUACUGAAGCUUCAUGAUCAAAUACAACAUCCAAAUUAACAGUUAUAUAUAUAUAUAUAUAUAUAUAUAUAUAUAUAUAUAUACACACACACGGUUACGCUGCAUGUGUUAUACCUUCUACCUUAUUAACAAGCAAACUUAAAUGACCAACUAUCUCUGGACACAAUACUUUCAUCCUACUGGGUCUCAUAUCAGUCCAAAAUAGAUCAAUACAGUCCUAUUUAAUCACAGAUUGAAAUGAAAACAACUACUAAAGAUUUUAUCUCCUUUUUGAGUCACUCUCUAAAUAGAUUUACGAAGCAGCUGACAAAAAAUAAACUAAAACUAACAUGAACUAUUUUGUUACUCUAACAUGAAAUUAACCACAACCAGUUAUUAGUUUUAACUAUAAACGGUAUACUACUAGCCUCAUACUCAAGUGUCUAAACAAUUCAAAGAAAACAAACAGUUCUGCGCAUAACUUAACUAGCAUUCAAUUCAUAAUAUUAGCUAUGUAAAAAUAGUCCUACGUACAGUCCACUCAAAAAAUAUAAUAUCAAUAGCUUGAACUCAAACAAUCACACAAUAAGCUAAUUACUAAAUGAAAUACAUCCAGCUAUAAGUAACAAUAAAAGUGCAGUAGAUUAACUGAGCGUGAGACAACCUUCAUUUCACUUUAAAAUGGAGCUAUAAUUCUGUGAGAUUUUCAGUCGUUUCUUUUCAGGAUUUCUUUUUCACUUUUCAAUUUCUCUUCUUUUCUACGGAUCUCUCAAAAUCUGUCUUUCUAUCUUAUAUUUUCCAACCUAUCUCUUUUUCUUUCUUUUAACUCUCUAUUGUUUUAAGCUCUCUCAUAUUCUCACUUGUCUAUCUCUGUGUGUUGCAAACUCUAUCUUUUUAGUAUUUUUUCAUAGUCUUCUUUCUAUGUGUUCUUAGUUCUCUCUUUCUCUCUUUGGAUUCAAUGUGUGUCCCUUUCCUGCCUGAUUUCCAGCCUCUAAAUAGGCAUACCCUUAGUGUACUUUUCACUAUCACUUUUAUCUCUUCAAUUUUUAAUUCCCCCAUUACUCUAGUGCCUUUAGAUUUAAUCAGUAAUGCCUAUUUCAGUCCUUAAAAUCAGCAUUAGUGUAAUUUCCACUGCUUCAAUUAUUUUGUAUUCUAUAUUAUCUAGGUUGGCUCCUAAACUUCUGUUGAUUACCCUUUAAAUCUCUGUUAUUCACCCCUUGAGCCUAGACAGACAUAUGGGACAAGUUGUCCCAAAUUAAUCAUAAAGUUUCCUUCCUUUAAGUAGAAGAACAAUGUCUUAACGGAUUGAAGACUAACAAACAAACUAGAAAUGAGCUAGAUGACUGAAUUAAAAUAGAAUUUAGUUAAAACUAUUUAAACUUAGAACAUGAAGGAUUCUAUAAUCAAACCAAAGGCAUAAAAAACCUAAAUGACAUGAUAACAACCAAAUACGUACAUGAAUAAACCGAAAAAUCCUCAAUUUUGAACAAGAAACUGACAAACACAACAUAACACAAAUCCGGUCACGUACUAAUAAUUCUAAAAAAAAACGAAAUAAAGAUAACAAGAAAGGAGUAGAAGAAAAUGAUAAAGAACAAAACGAAAUAUAUAAAAGGGUGAAGCAGAAAUACUUAAAAACUCGGACAUUAAAAGUUGAGAUGAAUCUUCAAAUCCUUAAAUUUCUGGCCGAAUUUGACAUUAUUCGUGUGUUCUUAUCAAGAACACACAAAUAAAAUAAGCUUCGACCUUAAACUCCACUGAAAUAUUGAUUUGAGGUUUUUUGGGAUUUUAGGGUUCAUCUUCAAUUCAACAUUCGACGAGUUUCGGAGGGAUUUGAAGGAAAACAAUUAGAGAUUGGGAUAGAGGAGGUUAUGGGGCUCACAUGGUUUUAUUUUGGGGGUGAUUGGGUAAACUAAGGUUUGGGGUUCAAAUUUCGAUCGAAGAUUCGACGAGUUUGGCUAUAAUUUGAAGGAAAUAGUUUAGGGAUUUGGGAAGAGGGGGUCAAGGCGAGUUUAAGGUGUAAUUUUGGUGGGGUUUGGUGGCUGACCACCGCCGUGGGCGAUUUUCGGUCGGCGGUCAGCGACGGCGUUACCUGGGUCUCUGAAGAUGAAGGAGGGGGAUAGGGGGGAGGGGGUCCUGAUUUGGGGGUUGGGGUUAUAAGAGUUGGGUAUAUUAAAAUUGGAGAAUUA
rnacentral:lncRNA from 1 species